UACGGAGGGUGCAAGCGUUAAUCGGAAUUACUGGGCGUAAAGCGCGCGCAGGCGGUUUGUUAAGUCUGCUGUGAAAUCCCCGAGCUCAACUUGGGAAUUGCAGUGGAUACUGGCAGGCUGGAGUAUGGUAGAGGAAGGUGGAAUUCCCGGUGUAGCAGUGAAAUGCGUAGAGAUCGGGAGGAACACCAGUGGCGAAGGCGGCCUUCUGGACCAAUACUGACGCUCAUGCACGAAAGCGUGGGGAGCAAACAGG
rnacentral:rRNA from 1 species